rnacentral:rRNA from 1 species
AUUGAACGCUGGCGGCAUGCUUUACACAUGCAAGUCGAACGGUAACAGGGAGCUUGCUCCGCUGACGAGUGGCGAACGGGUGAGUAAUGCGUCGGAACGUGCCGAGUAGUGGGGGAUAACGCAGCGAAAGUUGUGCUAAUACCGCAUACGUACUGAGGUAGAAAGUGGGGGACCUUCGGGCCUCACGCUAUUCGAGCGGCCGACGUCUGAUUAGCUAGUAGGUGAGGUAAAGGCUCCCCUAGGCGACGAUCAGUAGCGGGUCUGAGAGGAUGAUCCGCCACACUGGGACUGAGACAUGGCCCAGACUCCUACGGGAGGCAGCAGUGGGGAAUUUUGGACAAUGGGCGAAAGCCUGAUCCAGCCAUGCCGCGUGUCUGAAGAAGGCCUUCGGGUUGUAAAGGACUUUUGUCGGGGAGGAAAUCCCCAGCGCUAAUACCGCUAGGGGAUGACAGUACCUGAAGAAUAAGCACCGGCUAACUACGUGCCAGCCGCCGCAGUAACAC